GACGAACGUUGGCGGCGUGCUUAACACAUGCAAGUCGAACGGAAAGGCCCUGCUUUUGUGGGGUGCUCGAGUGGCGAACGGGUGAGUAACACGUGAGUAACCUGCCCUUGACUUUGGGAUAACUUCAGGAAACUGGGGCUAAUACCGGAUAGGAGCUCCUGCUGCAUGGUGGGGGUUGGAAAGUUUCGGCGGUUGGGGAUGGACUCGCGGCUUAUCAGCUUGUUGGUGGGGUAGUGGCUUACCAAGGCUUUGACGGGUAGCCGGCCUGAGAGGGUGACCGGCCACAUUGGGACUGAGAUACGGCCCAGACUCCUACGGGAGGCAGCAGUGGGGAAUAUUGCACAAUGGGCGGAAGCCUGAUGCAGCAACGCCGCGUGCGGGAUGACGGCCUUCGGGUUGUAAACCGCUUUCGCCUGUGACGAAGCGUGAGUGACGGUAAUGGGUAAAGAAGCACCGGCUAACUACGUGCCAGCAGCCGCGGUGAUACGUAGGGUGCGAGCGUUGUCCGGAUUUAUUGGGCGUAAAGGGCUCGUAGGUGGUUGAUCGCGUCGGAAGUGUAAUCUUGGGGCUUAACCCUGAGCGUGCUUUCGAUACGGGUUGACUUGAGGAAGGUAGGGGAGAAUGGAAUUCCUGGUGGAGCGGUGGAAUGCGCAGAUAUCAGGAGGAACACCAGUGGCGAAGGCGGUUCUCUGGGCCUUUCCUGACGCUGAGGAGCGAAAGCGUGGGGAGCGAACAGGCUUAGAUACCCUGGUAGUCCACGCUGUAAACGGUGGGUACUAGGUGUGGGGUCCAUUCCACGGGUUCCGUGCCGUAGCUAACGCUUUAAGUACCCCGCCUGGGGAGUACGGCCGCAAGGCUAAAACUCAAAGGAAUUGACGGGGCCCCGCACAAGCGGCGGAGCAUACGGAUUAAUUCGAUGCAACGCGUAGAACCUUACCUGGGUUUGACAUGGAUCGGGAGUGCUCAGAGAUGGGUGUGCCUCUUUUGGGGUCGGUUCACAGGUGGUGCAUGGCUGUCGUCAGCUCGUGUCGUGAGAUGUUGGGUUAAGUCCCGCAACGAGCGCAACCCUUGUUCACUGUUGCCAGCACGUUAUGGUGGGGACUCAGUGGAGACCGCCGGGGUCAACUCGGAGGAAGGUGGGGAUGACGUCAAGUCAUCAUGCUCCUUAUGUCCAGGGCUUCACGCAUGCUACAAUGGCUGGUACAGAGAGUGGCGAGCCUGUGAGGGUGAGCGAAUCUCGGAAAGCCGGUCUCAGUUCGGAUUGGGGUCUGCAACUCGACCUCAUGAAGUCGGAGUCGCUAGUAAUCGCAGAUCAGCAACGCUGCGGUGAAUACGUUCCCGGG
rnacentral:rRNA from 1 species